GCCAACAGGAGCUGGUAAUCAGGAUGGCAGUGAGGCAGGCACUUGCUUGCGGAAGAACAGGCCUAGUUUUUUAAGAAGCCACGAAAGUGUCUUUAGAUGAUUAGGAUCUAAGGGGCCAACAGCUUUGCAAUAACAGCAUAAAUAUUGUGGGCUGGAUGGACAGGCACCAAAUGGGGACAUUCCAUCCUGCUGUGUGAUGAGAAAGCUGCCACUUCUGAGGCCUUCCAAAACAAAUAAACACUCCAAAUGCCAGAAGGAAAAGCCCAGGAAAGACCUAUUCCAACUGGAGAUGAUUGUUGUGUUCUUGUUUCUAGGAAUAUGAAGGGAGAAUGAAACAAAACUGCUCCGCUCAGGGAACUUAGAAAUUGAAAAGGCAAGGCACAGGCUGGAAGAAAAUAUUUGAAAAAGAUUUAUGUGACAAAGAACUUCUUUCUGGAUUAUACAAAAUAUUUUUAGAUAUUCUUACAACUCUAAAAUAAGAUAACUCCUUAAAAAUGUGAAUUCUACCAAAGGAGAGAUAAAGAUGACAAAUACAGUCAAAGAUGCUGAAAAUCGCUUAUUUAUUAUUGGGAAGUUACAAGCUACAGCAUAAUGAGAUACCACUACAACCUACUAAACUGACUAAAAUUAAUCAGACUAACCAGGUGUUGGCAAGAAACA
rnacentral:antisense_RNA from 1 species